AAAUAAGAAACAAAUUUUGUAUUUAGUUUCGACCUAAACCUCCGGUGGCAGACACCCUUAUUUA
rnacentral:tRNA from 1 species